GGGCGGGAGUCAGGCCACCUCAGCACAGGCCAGCACCUGGGGGAUGACCUUGAGCCUGACCGAGAGCCCAGUGAUGAAGUCCAUCUUCAGCCACUGCACAGAAGAGUCCAGCAGCCCGUCCAGGAUGGUCAGCCUCCUCUGCACAGCCUCAGGGGAGCAUCAGCCAGCUUGCAGGAGUCUGAGGGUCUGGCCUGACCCAGCACCUUCACAGAAGAGGACAUGCCUGGGGUGGGCAUGGGGGUGACACACAUCAGCAGUCAGGGUCCGGGCCUCAGAGAACCCAGCAAUAGGGCGCGGGUCCAGAGGCAUCAAGACAGGCACAAUCUGUCUCCCUUCCAGGGGGUCUGAGCCAGAUGGGUUAAAUCUCCUCCCCUCCCCCCUGCCUUGGUGCUCUGAGAGAGGAAGCCAACAAGUGUGUAGAUGGGGCCUCAACCAAAGGUGGAGCGCACCUCCACUACCACUCUCACCCCACCCCCACCUCGCCGUCCCCUGCUCACUGCUCUCCCGGAAUCCCACCUGUCCAAACCCUAGACUCCCUCUCUCCCUCCAUCUACGCUGGCCCAGAAGAAUAUGUUGAACGAUUUCUCAGUGAGAAGCCUAAACACUAAUUAGACUCAAGGUUGCUGCUCCGGGGAGAAUUCGUUUGGGCCUUUUUUUCCUCCCCAGAGAAUUUAACGGGGAGCAGUGCAGAGAGAAGCAGCGUCCAGGGGCACCCUCAUCUGGCUGGCGGGGAGUGGGUGGGGGAACCGGAGGUCCUGAGGGAUCAGAAGCUUUCCCAGUGUGCACCAUGGGGGGCUCCACCCACUGAGGGGGACUGCAGUGCUGUGCGGGGCGUCUCCCAACUGAGGACACGCCUUAGCCCAACCCCCACCUGCGGCAUUCGCUUUCCUAGAGAGGCCCCAGGGGUUCUAGCUGGUUCUCAGAGAAAGUCUUGGUUAAUUCAGGGUGCGCAGCAUCCUCUAGGAUCCUGGCGCCCCCUGCCGCAGAACCGGCCCCAGACCACCCCUCACCACGGCCCGGGAGAGACAGCUCUGGGCAGAACUUGGCCCCACCCCCGAAGCCGCUUGUCCCGAAUUCGGGGGUCUGAGGGAGGGGACGCCACACCGGCUGACAGUCCGCGGCCCGCUGGCCCUAGCAAGACCGAGGGCAGCGGCGACCUUGGUGGGACGCAGUGGAUGGGGAGCGGGGGUCCCUGCUGGACGCUCGCGACCCUCAGACCCCGCACCGCCCCUCGCGUCGGCUCCCCCCAGGGACCACGCCCCAUCCCUGGCCGCUCGCCCACCGCCCCGGACUCAGCAGUCGCCGCAGCUUGGGGUCUCCGGCUGUCCCGGUGUCAGUGUCCGCAGGAACCCGAGAAAGAGUGGGGACGAAGGGCGGGACCGGGGCGAGGACAUACAGGGGCGAAGGCUGACGCCCACGGACCUCGGGGCGGGGCCUGUAACGAACUUCCCCGCUGGGCGGGCCCAGGACCCGGAGCCGCCUCCGGGCCCCUGCAGGCCCCCCCUCGGGAAGUGCUGCAGAUCCUUGAAACCUCAAGUUCCUCCAGAGCCUUGCUGUUCACGAGACUUCCGCUGAUGGGGAUGUUUCCAGAGACAGCAGGGCCCCAAGUGACGGUGGCAGCAGAGGCAGCAGCAGUUACAGCCUUAGAAGAGGAGGGCCUCUGCAUGGGGGUGUGCCAGGACCCGCGGAGGGAGGCUGGCUAG
rnacentral:lncRNA from 1 species